rnacentral:rRNA from 1 species
UACGAAGGGGGCGAGCGUUGUUCGGAAUUACUGGGCGUAAAGGGCGCGUAGGCGGUCUGUUAAGUUGGCUGUGAAAGCCCGGGGCUCAACCCCGGAACUGCAGUUGAGACUGGCAGGCUUGAGGACAGGAGAGGUAAGCGGAAUUCCCAGUGUAGAGGUGAAAUUCGUAGAUAUUGGGAAGAACACCAGUUGCGAAGGCGGCUUACUGGCCUGUUUCUGACGCUGAGGCGCGAAAGCGUGGGGAUCAAACAGG